rfam:Gossypium hirsutum cultivar TM-1 unplaced genomic scaffold scaffold3498.1, whole genome shotgun sequence
AACCCAUGAUGAGGGCACCUUCUCAAUAAAUCCUUAUAUCUCUCCCAUGCAUCAUAUAAGGUUUCUAAGUCGAUUUGUACGAAGGAAAAGAUAUCAUUCCUCAACUU